AAGAAGCAGAAAAAGAAAUUAUUAAAGGUAUAUAGCAGAGUAUUUACAUAGCACCUAUAAUUUGUAAUGAGGCUGAAGUAACAACUCUUAAAAUCAGAACAAAAUGUAGUAGCAGUCAAAAUCUUUUGAUAUACUACCACUUACAACUGAAUUAUUCAUCACACUUUAAUACAAACAUACUUCAUUUUAUUGCACUCUACGUUAUUGCAAUUUGCAGAUAUUGUGGGGUUUUUUCUUUACAAAAUAAGGAUUUAUGGCAACUCUGGAUCUAGUUAAGUCUGUCAGCACCAGUUUUCCAACAGCAAGUGCUCACUUUAUGUCUCUAUGUCACAUUUUGGUAAUUCUUGCAAUAUUUCAGACUUUUUCAUUAUUAUUAUUAUAUCAGUUACGGUAAUCUGUGAUCAGUGAUCUUUCGAUUACAAUUAUAAUUGUUUGGAGCCACCAUGAAGCAUGCCCACAUAAGAUGAUAAACAGAAGCAAUAAAUGCUAUGCGUGUUCUGACUACUCCAGCAAUAGCCAUUCCUGUCUCUCUCCCUUUCCUUGGGCCUCUCUAUUCCCUGAGACACACAAAAUGGAAAUUAGGCCAAGUAAUAAUCCUACAGUGGCCUCCAAGCAUUCAAGGGAAAAGAAGAGUUACAUAUCUCUUACUUUAAGACAAAAGCUAGAAAUGAUAGUGAGGAAGGUAUAUCAAACGCCAAGAUAGGCUAAAUGCCAGGCCUCCUACACCAGUCUGAAUGCAAAGAAAAAGUUUUUGAAUGAAAUUAAAAGUGCUACUGCAGUGAAUACAUAAAUGGUGAGAGCAAAACAGCCUUAUUGAUGAUAUGACAAAAGUUUGAGUGGUAUAGAGAGAAGGUCAAACCAGCCACAGUAUUCUCUCAAGCCAAACCCUAAGCCAGAGAAAGACCCUAAUUCUCUUCAAAUCUAUGAAGCCUGAGAGAGGUGAGGAAGCUGCAGAAGAAAAGUAGGAAGCUAGCAGAAGUUAGUUUAAGAGGUUUAACAAAAGAAAUCAUGUCCCUAACAUAAAAACACGAGGUGAAGCAGCAAGUGUUGAUGGAGAGAAUGCAGCAAGUUAUCCAAAGAUCUUGCAAGGAUCACGGAUAAACAACAGAUUUUCAGUGUAGACAAAACAGGCUUCUAUUGGAAGAUGAUUUCUAGUAGUUUCAUAGCUAGAGACAAGUCAGUGGUUCACUUCAAAGUUUCAAAGAACUGAAUGACUCUCUUCUGAAGAGCUAAUGCAGCUGGUGACUUUUAGUUGAAGCCAGUGCUUACUGAUCAUUCUGAAAAUGUAUGGCCCUUAAGAACUAUGCUCAAUUACCCUGCCUGUGCUCUAUAAAUAGAACAACAAAGCCUCGAAGACAGCACAUCUGUUUAUAGCAUGGUUUAUUGAGUAUUUUAAGCCACCGUUGAGACUUAAAGCUCAGAAAAGAUUUCUCUCAAAGUAUUGUUAAUCGUUGACAAUGCACCUGGUCUCCCAAGAGCUCUGAUAAAGAUGUACAUUGAAUUUCAUGUUGUUUUCAUGUCUGCUAACACAACAUCCAUUCUGCAGCCCAUGGAUCAAGGAGCAAUUUGAGUUUCAAAUCUUAUUAUUUGGGAAACACAUUUUGUAAGGUUAUGGCUGUCAUAGUGUUUCCUCUCAUGGAUCUAAGCAAAGUAAAGAAAAACUUAUGGAAAGGAUUCACCAUUCGAGACAUAAUGAAAAACAUUAAUAGUUCAUGAGAGGAGGUCAAAAUAUCGACAUUAACAGGAGUUUGAAAGAAGUUGUUUCUGACUCAUGGAUGUCUUUGAGGGAUGUAAUCUUCAGUGGAGGGAGUCACUAGGAUGUGGUAGAAACAGCAAAAGAACGAGAAUUAGAAGUAGAGCUUGCAGAUGUGACUGAAUUGCUGUAAUCUCAUGAUAAAACUUGGAUGGUGAGGAAUUGCUUUUCCUGGAUGUGCAAAGAAAGUGCUUUCUUGAGAUGAAAUCUAUUUCUGGUGAAGAUGCUGUGAAUACUGUUGAAAUGACAACAAUGGAUUUAUAAUAUUACAUCAACUUAGUUAACAAAGCAGUGGCAGGGUUUGAGUGAAUCGAUCCCAUUUUCAAAGAAGUUCUACUGCAGGUAAAAUGCUAUCAAGUAGCACUGCAUACUACAGAGACAUCUUUCACGAAAGGGAAGAGUCCACUGAUGCAGCAACUUCACUGUUGUCUUAUUUUAAGAAAUUGCCAUAGCCACCCCAACCUUCAGCAGUCACCAUCCUGGUCAGUCAGUAGCCAACAACAUCAAGGCAAAAGUCUCCACCAACAAAAAGAUGAUGACUCACUGAAAGCCCAGAUGAUUGUUAGUAAUGAAAAAAAUUUUAAUU